rnacentral:rRNA from 1 species
ACGGGUGAGUAACACGUGGGCAACCUGCCCUUGAGACUGGGAUAACUUCGGGAAACCGGAGCUAAUACCGGAUAAUACAAGGAACCUCCUGGUUCCUUGUUGAAAGAUGGUUUCGGCUAUCACUUAAGGAUGGGCCCGCGGCGCAUUAGCUAGUUGGUGAGGUAACGGCUCACCAAGGCGACGAUGCGUAGCCGACCUGAGAGGGUGAUCGGCCACACUGGGACUGAGACACGGCCCAGACUCCUACGGGAGGCAGCAGUAGGGAAUCUUCCACAAUGGACGAAAGUCUGAUGGAGCAACGCCGCGUGAGUGAUGAAGGCCUUCGGGUCGUAAAGCUCUGUUGUUAGGGAAGAACAAGUGCGAGAGUAACUGCUCGCACCUUGACGGUACCUAACCAGAAAGCCACGGCUAACUACGUGCCAGCAGCCGCGGUAAUACGUAGGUGGCAAGCGUUAUCCGGAAUUAUUGGGCGUAAAGCGCGCGCAGGUGGUUUCUUAAGUCUGAUGUGAAAGCCCACGGCUCAACCGUGGAGGGUCAUUGGAAACUGGGGAACUUGAGUGCAGAAGAGGAAAGUGGAAUU